AUUUACUUAGUAUAUAAAGUACAUUUAACUUCCAAUUAAAAAGAUUUGAACAUUCAAAGUAAAUA
rnacentral:tRNA from 1 species